rnacentral:tRNA from 1 species
GAAUUGAAGUCAAAAAGAGACAAAUUAUUGUUAAUAAUUUAAAUGAAAUAUUAUAAUUCCUAUUCAAG